UAAAUCUCUUUUCUUUAUAAAUUACCCAGCCUCAGGUUUUCCUUUGUAGCAAGAAAACAGACGGAUACAGGCCACUGUGCCAGCUGGCUGGGCAAUCAGUUGAUCCAGUUGAAAGCAGGUGCACGGAUGGAGAAUGGGUCGAGGCCUGAGAAGAGAGAGGGCCCCGCCACUUACACAGCAGAAAACUCAAGAGACCCUCUGGGCAGAAGUGAGAAAGAACUGUCCGCCAUGAGACCUGAGACCACCUACACACCCAUGCAGGAGGCCGCAGCGGAUUCCGAGGGCUCAGCCUGGUACCUGGCACAUCACAGGAACUGUGCAAAUGCUCACUGAACUGAAUUCAAUCUGUGGGUUCUCCAGAGCAACUGACCUCAAGUUGUAGGGGCCAGACCUGGAUGUGGCUUCAUUUGGUGGCUCCAUGACCUUGGGCUAAUCCCAAGAUCUGAGCCUCAGUUUCCUCAUCUGUGCAAUGGGGAUAAUCACAUGAUUUGCAAAUUAGAUGACGCUGUGGGCUUGCUUGAAGGCCCGGUAAACAGCGAAGGCUGCCCACCUGGGCCCUGGGAGGCCACACAAGCUGACUUCAUGCUCCCACUGUUUUCGGGGUAAAGGAAGCUUUUAUUCCCAUGACUUCAUCGGCAAAGGUCCUUCCUCUGGAGGAAGAGAGGAGAGUGGGAACAGCUUAGCUGCAUGAGGCUGCUGGGAAGCCAGGCCCAGGCCGUGACAUGAGGGCCCAAGAAUGAGGAUUAGAUUUCAGCCAGGCGUGAAGGCGCGUGGGGGAGGCGCCUCCUGCUCCAAUGAUCCCCAUUCUGUGGCCGCUCAUUCAGCCCUUCCACCCUGGGACACACUGACCCGCCCGAUGCCGGCCCCACUUCUGACCCGUGGGCUGCCUCUGCAGGGAAGGCCCCCAUUUCUGGUGCUCCUUGAUCUGUGUGAUUCUUUGCUAAGCUCCGCCUUCCUCUGAGUGAAAGCCGCUUUGAAAUGUGACCACAGGCCAUGCAGGGACCCCACCUGAAGCCCCCGGCCUCUCUGCUGUCCGCCCCCAGCCCAGGCGGUGCCGCCCCCUCGUGACAGCGUUACGGGAGGCUGCCCCGGCACCAGAACCGAUUUGAUUUGGGCCCUCUGGCGGGGCCUAUGACAUCACUAGGAUUGUUCAUUGUUUGGGAAAAUAACUUUUUCACAUGGCAA